UUAGAACCACUGUUGAGUCCAGACACACUUUGGCUGCAUCCUGUGUGUCUUGAAGGUAGUCACGUCUUGUAGCUCAAGUGUUUCUGGACUCACCAGUGGUCCUAA
rnacentral:pre_miRNA from 1 species